GGGUAGUAGUAUUUUUGAAUUUUGACCAGAGAAUAUUUGCUACUUUUAUCCAUUUGACUAGAUUAGCUGAAUUCUUUUUAUUAUUUUUAAAUUUUAAUUAUGUGUUUAGCACUAUGGGUGGAGAAAAGAAAUCUGAGGAAUCCGGUGUAAGCUUGUGGACCAAACGAAGUUGAUAUAUCAAAAUCUAUUUUAUACAUGUCACAAUAAAAAAAAUUUAAGAGAUUUUUAAUAUCAUAUUGAUCUUAUAUUCCAUC
rnacentral:lncRNA from 1 species